rnacentral:rRNA from 1 species
ACGGAAGGCAGCAGUGGGGAAUAUUGGGCAAUGGGCGGAAGCCUGACCCAGCAAUGCCGCGUGAAGGAAGAAGGUCUUCGGAUUGUAAACUUCUUUUAUGAGGGACGAAGGAAUUGACGGUACCUCAUGAAUAAGCCACGGCUAACUACGUGCCAGCAGCCGCGGUAAUACGUAGGUGGCAAGCGUUAUCCGGAUUUACUGGGUGUAAAGGGCGCGUAGGCGGGGAAGCAAGUCAGAUGUGAAAUCUAUGGGCUUAACUCAUAAACUGCAUUUGAAACUGUUUCUCUUGAGUGCUGGAGAGGUAGAUGGAAUUCCUAGUGUAGCGGUGAAAUACGUAGAUAUUAGGAAGAACACCAGUGGCGAAGGCGAUCUACUGGACAGUAACUGACGCUGAGGCGCGAAAGCGUGGGGAGCAAACAGGAUUAGAUACCCUGGUA